GCACAAAUGCAGUCUCCCACUACCACAAAUUAUGCAGUUGAGUUUCCUGCAUUUGUGGAAAUCGCAGGGGUUAGCACUCCAGGAUUACAAUGGGGUGAGCCUCUCCCUGGGAAAAAGACCUUGGUGAUCCUGGUAUCUCCCCUACCAGGCUCCUACCACUUCAAUCCCCUGUGCCCUCUGGAACAAUGUCUAGCUCAGAUGUUGGCAGCAGCAACCCACAAACCUUCACAGCACUGGGACCCAGGAGCCUUGGUUUUGAGGACAAAAGGUCAAAAUGUCUUUGGACUGAAGACAAUUCAAGAGCUGGCGAAGAACAUUUAUUCUGCCCUAUUUAGAC